rnacentral:tRNA from 1 species
ACUUGGCUGGUUUAGUCGGUAGAGCAUGUGACUUUUAAUGUCAGGGUCAUGAGUUCAAGUCCCAUGUUGGGUG